GACGAACGCUGGCGGCGUGCUUAACACAUGCAAGUCGAACGGAAAGGCCCUGCUUUUGUGGGGUGCUCGAGUGGCGAACGGGUGAGUAACACGUGAGUAACCUGCCCUUGACUUUGGGAUAACUUCAGGAAACUGGGGCUAAUACCGGAUAGGAGCUCCUGCUGCAUGGUGGGGGUUGGAAAGUUUCGGCGGUUGGGGAUGGACUCGCGGCUUAUCAGCUUGUUGGUGGGGUAGUGGCUUACCAAGGCUUUGACGGGUAGCCGGGCUGAGAGGGUGACCGGCCACGUCGGGACUGAGAUGCGGCCCGGACCCGUACGGGAGGCGGCAGUGGGGAAUAGUGUACUAUGGGCGGAACCCUGAUGUAGCCACGCCGCGUGCGGGAUGACGGCCUUCGGGUUGUAAUCCGCUUUCGCCUGUGACGAAGCGUGAGUGACGGUAAUGGGUAAAGAAGCACCGGCUAACUACGUG
rnacentral:rRNA from 1 species